ACGUGGCAGUGACAUGUUGAUGAUGUGUGUCGAGUGCAGAACACCUCCUAUCAUGAGAGUGAUUGUAUGUGCGUUGGGGUGUAAAAGUGUUCACUUUUACAUAGUUUAGGUGUGUAUUAAGUCACUUCAAUAGUUUAGGUGUGUCUUUGACUUUUUGGAUAUAUUUUAGGAUGAAAAUGAUGACUUUCUCCUUGUAUUUAUCACGUAGUAGUUUAUUGCUUUUCAUACAAUUACUUAUUUAAAUUAGAGAUAUGCAUUCAGUACCUCCUCGAAACUAUGUCAAAGUGGCUAGACAGAUUCCAACUUCAUAUGACUCCUAUUAUCCAUGAACUCAAUUUUAGCGUAUUUUUGUCACCCUUUUGUGCUGAC
rnacentral:lncRNA from 1 species